rnacentral:rRNA from 1 species
UACGUAGGUGGCGAGCGUUGUCCGGAAUUACUGGGUGUAAAGCGCGUGUAGGCGGGAGGCCAAGUCUGUGGUGAAAUCGCUCGGCUUAACUGGGCGGGGUCCAUGGAAACUGGUCACCUGGAGGUCGGUAGAGGCAAGUGGAAUUCCCGGUGUAGUGGUGAAAUGCGUAGAGAUCGGGAGGAACACCAGUGGCGAAGGCGGCUUGCUGGGCCGGACCUGACGCUGAGACGGCGAAGGCGUGG